AUUGAACGCUGGCGGCAGGCCUAACACAUGCAAGUCGAGCGGAUGAAGGGAGCUUGCUCCUGGAUUCAGCGGCGGACGGGUGAGUAAUGCCUAGGAAUCUGCCUGGUAGUGGGGGAUAACGUCCGGAAACGGGCGCUAAUACCGCAUACGUCCUGAGGGAGAAAGUGGGGGAUCUUCGGACCUCACGCUAUCAGAUGAGCCUAGGUCGGAUUAGCUAGUUGGUGGGGUAAAGGCCUACCAAGGCGACGAUCCGUAACUGGUCUGAGAGGAUGAUCAGUCACACUGGAACUGAGACACGGUCCAGACUCCUACGGGAGGCAGCAGUGGGGAAUAUUGGACAAUGGGCGAAAGCCUGAUCCGGCCAUGCCGCGUGUGUGGAGAAGGUCUUCGGAUUGUAAAGCACUUUAAGUUGGGAGGAAGGGCAGUAAGUUAAUACCUUGCUGUUUUGACGUUACCAACAGAAUAAGCACCGGCUAACUUCGUG
rnacentral:rRNA from 1 species